UGAAAGCGAAAGGAAAGUGAAAACAAUUAGGAAAAGUCGGCAUCAUCAUGGAUCGGAGGAGGCGACGCGUUGAAGUCGUUGCGAACGAUGAAAAAUGAUUAGGAGACGGGUCGAAGAAAAAGAGAAGGGACUGCAAUGAAGAGAGAAGGGGGCGAAAGUCGGAGGGGAUAUCCUGUUCUUCGACUGGUUUAUUGUAGAGACUGAGAGU
ensembl:ncRNA K08F8.8 ncRNA